AUCUACAGCCAUAUCAUCCUGAACAUGCUUGACCUCGUCUGAUCUCAGACGCUAAGCAGGGUUAGGCCUGGUAAGUACUUGGAUGGGAGUCAUGUCUUAAUUCUUUGAAGAAUGCUUCAUUAUAUUUG
ensembl:rRNA 5S_rRNA 5S ribosomal RNA